CCCAGCCCCGACCCGGGCCCAUUGUCAGCCGGCUUUUCCACCGCAGCUUUGGCGUCUGGCUCCAGAAGGAAGCGGAAAACGGGAGGCUGCUCUGGAAGCCUCCUCCCCAUCUUCCUGCGCCGUCAACUUUUCAGGAGUGGCUGGAGAGAGAGAUAGAUGCAUGUGCCCAGCAAGACAACAAACCCAGGUCCAUGUGUUCAAAUCCUUGUAGCCAGGGCGGCGGCCAGCCAAAGAAAUGCCGCCCCCCGGAGCAGGCGUGUGCGGCUCCUGGCAUUCUGGGUUUCAUACCCGUGGGGCUCGGGUGCGGUGAGUAUUUCCGUUUUCCAGGAAGUCUGUUGGAAGUUAGCAGCAGGGAGGGAGAAGGCGCCUGGUUCUCUCUUUUCCUCUUCUCCCCUUCUCCUUGUCGCUCUGACUAGGGGCUUGCUGGUUCAGAUGCAGUGAGGACUCCCCGGCUGCCCCCAUUGUCUCCCGCACCUUCCUGCUCCUUGGCCACCAGGGAUGUUUGCACUCAGGAGGUUCUGUUGUGGGAAACAGCACCGCAGCCCCAAGUCUUCAGCUGUAUAGACGGAGCCCAGGACAGAUGUGGGGGAAGCACCUCUGGCUGGGAGAGAAGCACCCAGAUCUUUACAACUGCCUAGGUUUGCAUCCUUCGAUCCCUUUUCUUCUUCUUAAAACGUGUGGAGGUUUCCUAAAAGCAGCCCCUGCAGGUACCCAGAAGUGGCUCCAGUGCCUGUUUCUAAAGAUCAUCUGAGGGAGCUUCUUAGCAGGGAAGAUAGAGUCCGUGAAGAUGGGUAUUUUGGAUUUGCAAAACAAAAUGGCGACAUUUUCCACCUCUGCCCCUGACACAGAAUUCAAGGGGAAAGGGGGUUUAUUGGUCACAGCAGAGGUUCCUGGUCCCGGAUGCAGGUAGCUCCUCACUUCCAGCUUUGAAGGAGGAUGCUGAUGGGGAUGCAGCCCGGAGGUCUGCGCUUUCUGAAUCUGGUUCCUUCUCUGAGCAGGUCUGUCCUCUGGAGAUGAAAAGAGUCCCCUUCCCCGAGCCUGCCUUUGCCUCUGCCUGCCAGCCAGCCAGUCGGCCGCCCAGGAGCAGAAAUGUAAUAUUUAGCUCCUGUAGCAUCAAAUGAAACAAGUACUUGCAAAAUUGCAUUUUUAUUAAAAAGAUAUUAAUCUCCUUUCUCUCUCCCCCUCCCCCUGGGGCCAUAAAAAGAACCCGGGGAGUGCAGAAGGAGAGGAAAUAAAUCCAGAGAAAGCCAAAUCCUAAAUUCCGACAGGAAGCCGGUGCUGGGACUGCAGCAGUCGGAGGCAGGGCUCGGCCUUCCUCGCGCUGGAGCCCUGGGUGAGCCUCAGUCUCCUUCCAGCCGCCUCGCUCCUAGUGGCAAUUUUAGAAGGGAUUCUUGCCUCCCGGUUUGAUAAAGGACCAGGCGGCAUCCGCGGAGAGUCGGGUUGCUCCUGGAAAGUGUUCGGCAUCCUCCGCGGGGCUGGCGGUUCCCCAGGUUAAGAUGUGGGCCAGAAGGCUUUGACCGGAGGAAGAUCGAGGACACGGAGACAGCCCGCUUACUCCCCGGUGGGGCCGCCCGGCACCUGUGCGCCCCCCGCCGCGCCUGGGCCGGCUGCCUUUGUUUCUCCUGCCGUCAGCUCUCCGCUCGCAGCCCCCGUGCCCGCCGCCGGCCUCCGUGGCAGCUGGGAACCAGGCAGCCCAGCGGGCUGGCCGCUCGGCGUCUCCAGAGCUGCAGCCGCCGGGAGCUCCGGCUGCCUUCCAGAGAAUUCGCCGUUCUCCGGGUCCAGCCUCCCCGCCAGGCCCCAGCCGGAGCUGCGGCGCGGCUGCGGCCUGCUCCGCCAGUUCGCCUCCAUUCCACGCAGACCCCCAUCUUCGGUCAAAGAACCCCUUCCGAACGCGGAUAUUAUUCAGAAUAAAAACUUUAUUUUUUUUUUGUUUUGUUUCUCAGAGUGUGAGCAGCAAGGAAUGUAGAACUCUCAAAACAAAUGUAGCAGUUUUCGCGUUUACAGAUUGUUUUCUUCAGUUUCGCCGGAUGUUACAAAUUAAAUCACCGCUUUUCGAAAGCUGGAUCCUCUCUGGUAUUAUUGCAUCGUUACCGUUUUUUAUAAAGGAAUUACAUUUCCCUUUCAAAUAAAAAAUUUCCUACGUACGCCAAUACACCAUUGAACAAAAGGCCCAAGAAACCUUCUGAACAAUCAGGGUACAGAAUUUCUUUAAUAUAAAUACGAACGGAUGGGGAUAAAUAAUAUUUAAAACUUAGAUUAUUCAAUGCUUGCAAAAAAAAUAUAAAUAAAUCUGACUGUUCACCAGCAUACACACACGGAAAGACGUACACGUAGUUAACCUUGCACAGGGGGUCCCUGUCUCAAAGCGCCUUUGAUUUUUUUUUCUCGCUCUUUACAAGAAGUGCAAUUAAAAAACUAAAAUUAAAAAAAAAAAGUAAUCGCGUCCCCUCGGGAGCCAUAAUGUACGAACAAAUUCACAUUGAAGAACUCGGCUAGAAAAUUUGUUCAUAUACCCUGUUUCUGAUCAAAGAGUAGAGAAGGUAAAGGGUGCAGGGCCAGCGGCCGACGAGGGGCGGGAAGAGAUAAAUAUCGCUACUGAUACUGACAGCCAUUCCAGCAACCAAGAUUGCUACGUCACAAAAACUAUAAAAACGCGUUACCAAAGAAAACAAAACGGGGCGAGGGGAGGGAGCAGAGGAGAGAGAGAGAAAAGGGAGGGGCCGGGAGAACCUUAAAACAAAAAAAGCAAAGGAAGAGGAGAGGGGAGGGGGGACUCUCCUGGCGCGCAGCCCCGAGCCCACCAUCACAGGCAUGUCCCAGCAAGCCACUCCUACCUCUCCUCCUCUGUGACAGAAGGUCCCCAGACCCUCCUGCCUUGGACUUUCUGAGGUGCUGUUAUUCAGAGCAACUAUCAAAUUCUACCUGUUAAAACAUGAUGGAUUAGAGAAAAAAACAACCCACCAGGAACCUGAAAAACCAGCGUUCAUCUCCAUGACCACGGCGUGAACUCUCCUUCCAACUUAACGAUAAUAGGUUCUGUCUUAGAAACUGCUAUGUAAUUUGAUGUAUGGGGGUCAUUUGGCUCCGGACAAGGGAUGGAAGCACAAGCCAUAAAAUCCUGCCAGAGUUCCCUGAUCUUUGUGUGCUGCUGCUGCUGCUGCUGCUGUUGAUAUUUGUUACUUGGCCUAUUUACCUGCUUCAGAAACACCAAGUAAAGGGCAACCCUAGAAGUCUAAAAAGCAAUCAAAAGCCUUCUCAACUAUUUUUUAUUUAGAAAGCACUUUGCAGAAAUAAAAUCUGUUUCUUUUUUUUUUUUCAACCUUUGCAUGGUCAACCACUGGUUCUGCUCAGAAAAGUUCCACGUGAGUUCAUAUAUUCACACUCACACUCUGACACAGUCACAAUGUUUCUCUCUGACCACUUAAGGAAACUGCAGUGACAAAUAUGUGAAGAAAAUGGUUUACACGUCACACCCCAACUGUGUGGAUUCGAGUCCUGGAGUUAUUCAAGUUUUCCAGGAAUAGCAGGCACUUUGUUAACUAGAAAAAAAUAAUGUAAUAAGCUUGUACCAACAGAUGAUUACACUGUAAUUUUGUCUUUAAUAAUGUACUCCUUUGGAUUUCAUUAUUAAACCAACGAUCUGACCAACAUCUGCAAAAUAGGCACAAUUAAUUUUCCAGGACCUCAAUUAAAAAAUUACAGCAUGCGAUACCCAGAGUGAUUGUGUGUGAUCCGG